GCUGAGCACUCCUACGGGAGGCAGCAGUGGGGAAUAUUGCACAAUGGGCACAAGCCUGAUGCAGCCAUGCCGCGUGUAUGAAGAAGGCCUUCGGGUUGUAAAGUACUUUCAGCAGUGAGGAAGGUGGGUAUGUUAAUAGCAUAUUCAUUUGACGUUAGCUGCAGAAGAAGCACCGGCUAACUCCGUGCCAGCAGCCGCGGUAAUACGGAGGGUGCGAGCGUUAAUCGGAAUUACUGGGCGUAAAGCGCAUGCAGGUGGUUUGUUAAGUCAGAUGUGAAAGCCCCGGGGCUCAACCUCGGAAUUGCAUUUGAAACUGGCAAACUAGAGUACUGUAGAGGGGGUAGAAUUUCAGGUGUAGCGGUGAAAUGCGUAGAGAUCUGAAGGAAUACCGGUGGCGAAGGCGGCCCCCUGGACAGAUACUGACACUCAGAUGCGAAAGCGUGGGGAGCAAACAGGAUUACAUACCCUGGUAG
rnacentral:rRNA from 1 species